rnacentral:lncRNA from 1 species
ACUGCGCGCGCUCUGGAAGGCAGCUGGGCGGCCUCCCCCACUGCACACCUGUGCUGCCUCCCGGUGUCCACGCCAAGGGGAGUGGAGGCCUUGCACCCUCGCACAGCUUGCGCACGGGUCUUCACCGUCAAAGCCGGAGAUGCCAGGCUUCUCAGCCGCAAGGGGCCCAGGGGGUCUUACUCGGCGUGCAGGACAGAGGGGCCCAGGCGAGGACAGAGGAACCUACUGCGCCCCAGAGCGAGAGAGCGGAACCAACUCAAGGGGCGGCUCAGCCCUGCGCGUGGCCCCAGGAAAGCCCAGCUGUGUGGACCAAGGAGAGAAGAGGGAGCGGUACCUGUGGAUUUUAUCCCUGAGGGUGAGAGAUGAACAACCAUCAGAUCAGGUAACGGGCCGGAUGAGCGUCGUGGGCUCCGUAGGAGAGGAAAGCAGGGACUGCAAGUCCAGCGGCAACCCUGACCCAGGACUCUGCACCGGAGCUUUCUACUCAAAACCUGUGGAAACAAAGGGUGUUCUUGCUUCCUUAAUCCUCACAAAGAAUUAAAACUUGAAAUAAAUGAGCUGUAUUAUCGGUAGCAUUGGCACCUUUCACAGAGGUGAAUAACACCAUCAGAGGUGUGACCCCAGAAUCCUCUCAGUCCGUAUUUGCAGGGCACGUUUCUUGCAGGCAGCAACGCGAAGCACAUAUCCAUCCCUUCCUUAUCUCCAUCCUCUGCUCCUCCCCACCCUUCCUGCUCCUUCCUACUCUUGGCCUCACCCCAUUCACAAAAGCUCCAUUCUCAUCAUCUUCACCCAAUGUUCUCCCAUUUCUUUUCUCUCCUCUCUAUCCCCGCCCCUCCAUCUCUUGUGGAACAUUCUAGAAAGUCUCUCCUGACACUACAGUAUCGUAUAUCGGUAUAUAUGUGUGUUUGUAAUGAUAGGAACAACUAAGUAUUUUUCAAAGGAAAGAAGAGAAGAUACUUUGACAUAAGUACCAAG